GCAUCUCCAGGUGCUCUUGUUGCUUGUGUACCAUGACAUGAUGAAUGACCGCUGUACACUAAAUACCUUGGACUGUGAGGUGGAGGUAAAUAGAGCCCCGUUUCUUCACUGUCAAUCUGUGUUCUCGGUCCACUACCUCAAGAUAACAUUGGUUUAUUAAUCAUGGAUUUUACUACUCUUCUUUUUCUAUCUACUAGCGAGAAAUAGCAAAUUUAACAGGUUCCUAUGUGAUGGAGAGUAAUGGCUACGUCCAUCUGAGCAGUGGACUUGAUGCCUACUUGGCAAGAAGAUACUUGCCUGUCUCCCAUGAAAUGUUUGAGAGGGGAUCAACUACCUCUGCCUCGAGUGUUUCAUCUGAUUUCUCGUCAGAUGAGCAGUCCCCUGUCUUCACACGUACACAGAAAGUCACAUUUGUGGACAUCCAAACUGUGGCAUCUUCUUCAGCGAGUUCUCCUUUGCAAGAAAUAAUGAACACACCAAAAUUUCAGUUGAGGAAGAUGCAGCGACAAAUGAUCAAGGAGAGAGACUAUAGAGAUGGAUUAGAGAGGGAGCUGGCCAGCAAGCUCACAAUUAUUACUCAGAGAGGUAACUCACUUUACUGGUGUUGAAAAUGUUUAUAGAAAUACAUUCAACUUUGAUUAAUUGUCUUUUUUUUCCCAAAUUUUUUUUUCAGAAUCUCAUAUUAACCAGCUGCAGUAUUGUUUGGAUAAACUGAAAGAGGAGCAAACACAGCGGGAGCAGGUUGGGAGGGAACAAAUCGAUGAGCUUGAGACCAAGAAUAACAUGUAAGUAUUAACAUUUAAGACAUUAAGUUUUCGAGUUUUUUUUUUUUUUUUUUCUUCCACCAAUGAUCCCUUUCCAUUUUAACCCUUAAACAGAAAAAAGAACUGAAUAACAUACUGUCUUAGAAGGUGUGUUGUCAUUUUCCACUGUCACUGUGCUGUAACAUGGCAUGUUUCAAAGAUUCCUUUGUACAUCAUCCUGUUUGUUGAUGUAUGUGACAGAAAAUGUUGCGUUUCUCACAAGAUCUU
rnacentral:lncRNA from 1 species